CGGGGACGGAAGUCCCGCCCCCAGGGCCAGCGGGGCGGGGGCUGGAGGGGAACUUCCUGGCCAGGGGUGGACAGCUUCCGGGAACAAAGUGGAAGAGGCGUACGGUGCGACGGUUCUGAGGCCUUUUCCCAGAUUCCGUGCUGAAGUCCCUGGGGCAGAUGCCAAGUUAAGAGCUGCUGUGCCAGACAAGGAGCUAUGGCAGAGACCAACCUCCAGGAAGUUCAUGAUGAGGAAGAACAAUAGCAGGAAAGCUGGUGCAAAGAGGAGGCGGUCCAGGAGAAGCCUCUUGACCCCAGCCAAAGGGACCUCAGGAGGAAUCCAGUGUUCCAUGAAGAGGUAGAAGAAGUGAUUCAGUGGCCCUGUGAAGAAGAACCUGAGGGCCCCCCGGUGAUGACUUGUUCCUGCCUUGGAUCUCUAAUCAGUCUCUACCUAGCCAGCUCCUACUCAACAUUGUCAGCUUGGAGACUUUGUUCAUGAUUUUUCUGGACAAUGAACCCACCGCUCUCCCAGCCAUUCUCUAUUCCAGUGAUCUCUAAACUGUGAAGCUUGACCUCAUGACCUCGAGAUCAAAAGUUGCAUGUUCUACUGACUGAGCCAGCCAGGUGCCCUGAGAAGGAACAGAAGUCUUGAAGAUGGAAACUGAGUGGAUAAAGCCUCCCAGGGAUUCUGACAUGCUCCCUCCUUCCCGGGUGAUUAUGGCUUUAACUAUAGUAUAGAAACUUGUGAUGACUGCAACCAACAUGCUUACAAAUACAAAGUGAUAUUUGUGAACUUUAAAUUGAAAAAAUGACUCAUGUUGCAAAAGACUUCAAAAUAAUCCAUCUAUACAAAAACUAUUGUUGGCCAGAGAACUCAGUGUGGAUUUAAUUGGUAAAACUCCUGAAUCUCUGUGGUCUCUGCAAUUCCAAAAGUGGUUCAGAACUGGACAUUUUUCAGGAUACCUAAGUAUUUAUUUUCUGGAUGUUUACACUAUGAAAAUAACAGAAACAACUGGCCAUAUUUGAGUCCAUUUUCCUUUUUCAUGGUCUUUGUGUCUUGAAAUCUCAUUUAGGUUCAAGUGAGUUAUCUGCUCUCAAAUCUCUCAGCCCAAUGAAGAUAGCCGCUCCCACCCAUGCAAUUCAAAUGAAAACCAUAAAACCAGUUCACAUUAUCCACCAUUCUGGUUUUUUCCCCAUGUUACUUCAGUGCUUUUUAAAAAUUAUUUUUCCAAGUUAGAUUAUUUCAGAAAGUUGGUCUUGAUACCCUAGCUUUGUUACAAUUAGUUUUCUACUGGGUCCUUUAUGGAACUCACCCAUAAAUGGCGUAUCUGAGAGGCCCACUGACAUCUAGCUUUUGAGAGCAGUUUUCUUUUUCCCGCUUCUUCUCAAUCAUCUGAGCCAGGAAAUUCCCAAGUGCUGACAAAAUGCCACUGUGGACAGAGAUAUAAUCAGAAAACAGGAGCAAGGGACGCCUGGGUGGCUCAGUGGUUUAGCACCUGCCUUCAGUUCAGUGCAUGAUCCUGGAGUUCCGGAAUCCAGUCCCACGUCUGGCUCCCUGCAAGGAGCCUGCUUCUCCCUCUGCCUGUGUCUCUCUGUGUGUCUCUCAUGAAUCAAUAAAUAAAAUCUUAAAAAAAAGAAAAAAAGAAAACAGGAGCAAGCAGCAGAAGUGUGUCAUUCCUGCAUGUAAUCAGCAUAGCUGUUCUGAGAUCAUGGUGGCAUGGGUGGAGAUAGGUCCUUUUUUUUUUUAAAGGCAGAUGCUAAACUGCUGAGCCACCCAGGGAUUCCCCGCCCCCCCCAGAUGAGUCUUUUUUAAAACAGCCCCAGUGUAAGGUCCCUACAUCGAAAGGUGGAGACAGUAGAACUUUACACACACGCACCCUUAACCUGUGGACUGUACCCAUGCCAGUGACCUGCAUGUGAUAUUGUACCACAGUGUUACAAAGUGUUACCAAUGGGGGAAAGUGGGCAAAGUGUACAAGAAACCUCCCUGUAUUAUUUCCUACAACUGAAUGUAAACCUACAAUUACCACAGUAAGAGUUUCAGUAGAAAGGUGGAGACGGGCCCAGGUACUCCAGGGUUUGGUCUGUAGCUACCUUCUGAUAAGCUCUGGGCACUUAAAAACUCCAAAAUUCUUUGUAUGGCGGAUAAAGACCUUUUUGAUCUGC